rnacentral:piRNA from 1 species
UGGAUUCUCAAAAACACCCUCCUCUUGGUAC